UGCCAGCCGCCGCGGUAAUACGUAGGGGGCAAGCGUUGUCCGGAUUUACUGGGUGUAAAGGGCGCGCAGGCGGAUUUGUCAGUCAGGGGUGAAAUCCUACAGCUUAACUGUAGAACUGCCUUUGAUACCGCAAAUCUUGAGUUCGGAAGGGAGAGGCGGAAUUCCAGGUGUAGUGGUGAAAUACGUAGAUAUCUGAAGGAACAUCAGUGGCGAAGGCGACUACCUGGACUGAUAUUGACGCUGAGGCGCGAAGGCGUGGGUAGCGAACAGGAUUAGAUA
rnacentral:rRNA from 1 species